rnacentral:rRNA from 1 species
AUGCAAGUCGAGCGGCAGCGGAAAGUAGCUUGCUACUUUGCCGGCGAGCGGCGGACGGGUGAGUAAUGUCUGGGAAACUGCCUGAUGGAGGGGGAUAACUACUGGAAACGGUAGCUAACACCGCAUAACGUCGCAAGACCAAAGAGGGGGACCUUCGGGCCUCUUGCCAUCAGAUGUGCCCAGAUGGGAUUAGCUAGUAGGUGGGGUAACGGCUCACCUAGGCGACGAUCCCUAGCUGGUCUGAGAGGAUGACCAGCCACACUGGAACUGAGACACGGUCCAGACUCCUACGGGAGGCAGCAGUGGGGAAUAUUGCACAAUGGGCGCAAGCCUGAUGCAGCCAUGCCGCGUGUAUGAAGAAGGCCUUCGGGUUGUAAAGUACUUUCAGCGGGGAGGAAGGCGAUAAGGUUAAUAACCUUGUCGAUUGACGUUACCCGCAGAAGAAGCACCGGCUAACUCCGUGCCCAGCAGCCGCGG